rnacentral:rRNA from 1 species
UACGGAGGAUGCAAGCGUUAUCCGGAAUUAUUGGGCGUAAAGCGUCCGCAGGUGGCACUUCAAGUCUGCUGUCAAAGACCGGGGCUUAACCCUGGAAAGGCAGUGGAAACUGAAGCGCUAGAGUGUGGCAGGGGUAGAGGGAAUUCCCCGGUGUAGCGGUGAAAUGCGUAGAGAUCGGGAAGAACAUCGGUGGCGAAAGCGCUCUACUGGGCCAUAACUGACACUCAGGGACGAAAGCUAGGGGAGCGAACUGGG